rnacentral:lncRNA from 1 species
AUUGUUCAGGGAGGAAACUGAGAACCAAAGAAGUAAAGUGGCUGGCCCAAGGUCACACAGCAGAGGCAGGGCAGGAAUCUCAGGCCUCUGGUGCUUGCUAUACAUCGUGAUGGUUCUCUCUCUUUUUUUUUUUUUUCCAAAAGAGUGUUCUUUCUGUGUUUGCCUGGGGGCUUGGGGGAACAGACCGGUAGGCAGGAAAGAUAGAGUUCCCCCAACCCCACCCCAUUGCAAACAUCAAAAGACUUUAUCAGAGAGCUACAAAGAGAAGAGAGAGAGAGAAAAAAAAAACAGCAAAGCACCUGGGCCAGGGGAAGAGAGGAUGGGAUAGCCAAUGGGCUGCUGAUGCAAGAGUGAAAUAGCUGCACUGUGCUUGCUUGUAUGGCUACCAAAUGAGGCACCCGUGGGUGAGCAGAAAGGAUGGCACAAAACACGUGGUUAAAGCAAAUGUUAAUGCCAGGCUUGACAAGGUAGCCGGGCGCAGAGUAACAAAGCCUGCAGCCAGGCUCUCUCUCAAGUUCAGAUCCAAGCUUGUGAUGUGUGUGUGUGUGUGUGUGUGUGUGUGUGUGUGUGUGUGUGCCCAGACAGGAGGAAAGGAGUGUGCAGGAAGUCGGGGAGGGCAACAGAACACAUGUGACCCGAAUGUAGAAAGAGGCUUUGGUGGGUGGAAGGGACAGAGGGACUGAAGCAGAGGGAAAGUAGGGAAGAGACAGGCAAGAACGGAUCUUGUUGGACGUGUUAUAGUGAAAGCUAAUACCAAGCAUGUUAAUUUAAAAAAAUUAAUAGAUUAAAAAAAUUAAAAUAGGACCACAUGAGUUCAAUUCCUAGCAACCACAUGGUGGCUCACAACCAUCUGUAAAGGAAUCUGAUGUCUCUUCUAGUGUGUCUGAAGACAACUACAGUAUAUUUAUAUACAUAAAAUAAAUAAAUCUUUUUUUAAAAAGAAAAGAAAGUCUUGGGAGAGUUGGAGUCUAGAAGAAACACACACCACAGAUAACUUUUUAAGAAAAAAUUAAUUUUUUAAAGGCUUAAAAGGCAGCACUCAGAGAGCACCCGAUUGCUCUUCCAAAGGUCAGGAGUUCAAAUCCCAGCAACCACAUGGUGGCUCACAACCAUCCUCUCUUCUGGAGUGUCUGAGGACAGCUACAGUGAACUUACAUAUAAUAAAUAAAUAAAUAAAUAAAUAAAUAAAUAAAUCUU